rnacentral:lncRNA from 1 species
UCAAGGUAGUGGUCUCUCAGGUUUUUAUAGAUUUUACUCCUCCUCUCCUCAAAGAUAGUUUCUAGUCAUGGUAACUGAGAAAUAACCAAUCGUCCUUGCCCUUGCACUUAAAAAGUGUUGCUUCCCUAAUAGCGAUGGUCGAUACGAUAGCCGUUGGACAUCCGACAGUCAGUCGGAUCAGCCAUUGCACUUUUCCAGAAUCCACCAAUAGUUACAGUGUUGGGGCGACGCUUCGGGGGAUGGUUUUUC